AUUGAACGCUGGCGGCGUGCUUAACACAUGCAAGUCGUGCGGUAACAGGCGUAGCAAUACGUGCUGACGAGCGGCGAACGGGUGCGUAAUACAUGGGAAUCUGCCCUUUAGUGGGGAAUAACCCGGCGAAAGCCGGGCUAAUGCCGCAUAAGAUCUUCGGAUGAAAGCGGGGAUCGUAAGACCUCGCGCUGAUGGAUGAGCCCAUGCCGGAUUAGCAGUUGGUGAGGUAACGGCUCACCAAGGCGACGAUCCGUAGCUGGUCUGAGAGGACGGCCAGCCACACUGGGACUGAGACACGGCCCAGACUCC
rnacentral:rRNA from 1 species